rnacentral:rRNA from 1 species
UACGUAGGGCACAAGCGUUGUCCGGAAUUAUUGGGCGUAAAGAGCUCGUAGGCGGUUUGUCGCGUCUGCUGUGAAAACUCGAGGCUCAACCUCGGGCUUGCAGUGGGUACGGGCAGACUAGAGUGCGGUAGGGGUGACUGGAAUUCCUGGUGUAGCGGUGGAAUGCGCAGAUAUCAGGAGGAACACCGAUGGCGAAGGCAGGUCACUGGGCCGCAACUGACGCUGAGGAGCGAAAGCAUGGGGAGCGAACAGG